CCCUGGGGAAAAGAUGCCAGGAGAGCUGAACCUUAGCAGGGCAUCUUAUGCUGUGCUUGGAAACUGGCAGCAGACCUUCCUACAGAUGACAGAACUGGAC